GAUGAAUGCUGGCGGCGUGGAUGAGGCAUGCAAGUCGAAUGGGUUUAGACCCAUGGCAGACGAGGUAGGAACACGUAGGUACGUACCGUAGAGUCAGGGAUACUCCGGCGAAAGUCGGCAUAAUACUUGAUGGUCCCUUCGGGGUAAAGAUUUAUCGCUCUAUGAACGGCCUGCGGUCUAUCAGCUUGAUGGUGAGGUAACAGCUCACCAUGGCUACGACGGAUAGGGGAGGUGAGAGCCUGGCCCCCACCGAUGGAACUGAGACACGGUCCAUACUCCUACGGGAGGCCGCGGUCGAGAAUCUUCCGCAAUGGACGAAAGUCUGACGGAGCGACGCCGCGUGGUGGAUGAAGCAUUUCGAUGCGUAAACACCUUUUAUGAGUGAAGAAGUAUAUUGACAUUAGCUCAUGAAUAAGGGGCUCCCAACUCUG
rnacentral:rRNA from 1 species